GACUCUCGGCAACGGAUAUCUCGGCUCAUGCAUCGAUGAAGAACGUAGCAAAAUGCGAUACUUGGUGUGAAUUGCAGAAUCCCGUGAACCAUCGAGUUUUUGAACGCAAGUUGCGCCCAAAGCCUUUCGGCCGAGGGCACGUCUGCCUGGGUGUCACAC
rnacentral:rRNA from 1 species